rnacentral:misc_RNA from 1 species
CUUGGCAUACCUGUGAGAGCACUUGAGCAGAGCGAAAGGAAACACCGACAAGCAAACACGAUAGCAGCAACUGCCGUGUGGGUUGCGUUGCGGCAGCAGCGCUACACCACUCCACGCACAAACACCACAAGGUCUGUCGGCGUACGCUUGUAGGUACGCUACCAUGAGCAGUGAUUGCAAGGAGACAGAGUCGCCGCAAGCUGGCGAGCCUUUGGCGGCGGUGAAGCUGCCAUCUGUGAAUUCCUCGUCAUCUGAAGACACUGACAGCGACACGUACACUAUCAGUCAGACUCUCUUCGAUGCCCUGACGGGGAGGGGAUUCAGCGAAAACGCCAUCAAGAAGUCCAUCGUUGCCGGCUGCAUUGACGAGGCUACGUGCACGCAAUGGAUUCAGAUGCACGAAGGACACCCAGAGCUCGACACUGCGCUCGAGGAUGGCGCCGAGGUGAUCAUCAAAGCCAAACGCGUCUUGACGGAAGCAGAGCGCGAGGCCAAGGUGAGGGAGCUGCAAGAACGUGUGAGGCGCAACAAAGAAGAGGAGAAGCUCGAGCUGCAGCGUAAGGAGCGAGAACGUCUGGAGGUGGGCCGCAAAAUGCUGCGAAUGAAAAGCGAGAUGGAGGAAGUGCGGCGAAAGAUGAACGCGGAGGAGGCGCGACGCGAGAAUGCAGCCGACUUGGAGGCAAGGCGGCGCAUCAAAAUUCAAAUCGCUGCUGACCGACUAGAGCGUAGAGGGCACACCAGGGAAGAGGCGCUCGCGCUGGCGGAGAAAGAGUACGAGGAGGCGGCGGCGAAUGCUCGCGCGGAAGCGGCGGCGAAGCUGGAAACUCUGCAGGGGGCGCAGGCUCCAGCGCAGACGACGACAUCGUCGAGUGAUGGUACAUGGAACCUGUCCGCCGUCACCGCACCUUCGUCUGCUCAGAAUACACUGCUCGGCUUGUUUGCCGGAGAGGCCCCCACAUGUGCGCAGUCGCUUGUCGAGAAUAUACGCAAGCGCGCAUCUGCUGAGCAGACGGGCGAAUGCGUGCGCACUCUCCGGCUCAUCCUCGGCAACAUUGUGAGCGACCCGUUUGACAUGAAGAAGCGCACAUUGCGCAUCUCCACAAAGGCAUUCCGUGAUGCCAUUCUCCCUGUAGACGAAGCGGUGCGGCUGUUGCGUUGGUGCGGGUUCGAUUUAUCAACUGAUGCGGCCAGCAAUCAGACCCUUUGCCUCUCCACCGUUGUCGUGCGUCGCCUGCACCAGGCGCUCGCGCUCCUGGACAGCGAGUGGUGAUUACCGCUUUCGGUCAAUUCUCAUGGAAGUCGAUGCGCGCGCGUUUUUGCGUGCUUGUUCUUGAAGGAGUCGAUGUCGUCCCAGCCUGACGCGGGAGCGUAUUCUCUCCGCAUCGCAGUGUGUGUGUGUGUGUAAAGAAUGUGGAGUGCAGUGCGCCCGGUGUGUGCGUGUGUGUGUGUGUGGGGGGGCAGCUGAUUGUUGUCUGUCGCUUCAGUCGAUCUGUUUUCCCUCACUACCACUGAUAGGGAAGAUGAGGGAAAGAGAGAAAAGAAAGCGCACCAAAAACAAAAGGCAAGCCGGGAAGGCGCAGCGCUGGUGGCGUCUCGCGCAGAGACGAUGACAGCAUGUGCAGAGUAUGUGAGCGCGCUUGAAACGUAGCGUUAGGAUGAGUUCCAACUGCUGAGAGUUCUCCUUGAGAAGCAGGCAAACGCGCACCCUACUCACACGCACACAGGAGAGGGGGGUACUCGAUGUGGUGGUGCUGCUUAUGUGCACCGGCGAGGAUCGCGGCCGUUAUACACACAUAUCGCACCCGUUCAUGCGACUUUUCUUUGGCACGAGAAUGGAAUGCCUUUCCCUGCUUACUCUGUGGCUGUCUUUGUCCACUGUUUUGCCGUGUUGGCGCUUACUCAAAUGUACGCGUGAUUUCAUGCGUCUGUGCGUGCCGCUUCUCAUGAGCGAGCGUGCGAAAAAUGCAAUCUGCAUCUCCAAG